rnacentral:rRNA from 1 species
CGGCCGGGCAAAGACGGCGUCAGCUGUCGCUUUUGGAUGAGCCCGCGGCGUAUUAACUAGUUGGUAAGGUAACGGCUUACCAAGGUGAUGAUACGUAGCCGAACUGAGAGGUUGAUCGGCCACAUUGGGACUGAGACACGGCCCAAACUCCUACGGGAGGCAGCAGUAGGGAAUCUUCCACAAUGGACGCAAGUCUGAUGGAGCAACGCCGCGUGUAUGAAGAAGGUCUUCGGAUCGUAAAAUACUGUUGUCAGAGAAGAACACGUGAUAGAGUAACUGCUAUGGCGCUGACGGUAUCUGACCAGCAAGUCACGGCUAACUACGUGCCAGCAGCCGCGGUAAUACGUAGGUGGCAAGCGUUGUCCGGAUUUAUUGGGCGUAAAGGGAACGCAGGCGGUCUUUUAAGUCUGAUGUGAAAGCCUUCGGCUUAACCGGAGAAGUGCAUUGGAAACUGGAAGACUUGAGUGCAGAAGAGGAGAGUGGAACUCCAUGUGUAGCGGUGAAAUGCGUAGAUAUAUGGAAGAACACCAGUGGCGAAAGCGGCUCUCUGGUCUGUAACUGACGCUGAGGUUCGAAAGCGUGGGGAGCGAACAGGAUUAGAUACCCUGGUAGUCCACGCUGUAAACGAUGAAUGCUAGGUGUUGGAGGGUUUCCGCCCUUCGGUGCCGCAGCUAACGCACUAAGCAUUCCGCCUGGGGAGUACGAUCGCAAGAUUGAAACUCAAAGGAAUUGACGGGGGCCCGCACAAGCGGUGGAGCAUGUGGUUUAAUUCGAAGCAACGCGAAGAACCUUACCAGGUCUUGACAUCUUUUGACCAUCUGAGAGAUCAGAAAUUCCCUUCGGGGACAAAAUGACAGGUGGUGCAUGGCUGUCGUCAGCUCGUGUCGUGAGAUGUUGGGUUAAGUCCCGCAACGAGCGCAACCCUUAUUGUCAGUUGCCAGCAUUCAGUUGGGCACUCUGGCGAGACUGCCGGUGACAAACCGGAGGAAGGUGGGGAUGACGUCAAGUCAUCAUGCCCCUUAUGACCUGGGCUACACACGUGCUACAAUGGACGAUACAACGAGUCGCGAGACCGCGAGGUUUAGCUAAUCUCUGAAAGUCGUUCUCAGUUCGGAUCGUAGGCUGCAACUCGCCUACGUGAAGUCGGAAUCGCUAGUAAUCGCGGAUCAG